GUAACUUACUGUGGAAGGCUUGUGCGGAAUACGCGUGCGUACCAUUAGGCAGCCUAUGCCAUACAUGCUCGACCGGCUAGCGGCGGAUCCAAGAGUUUUUUUUUCAAAGGAGGGGCAUGAAGUGUUAUAUCGGCAUGGGUCCCGGGGCCAAAGGGCCCCGGAAAAAAAAAUUGAACUAUAAGAUGCUUUAUGGUACAUUCUGAGGCAUUUCUGAAUGCGUAAACUGAACAUUUAUUUGAAAAUUCUGGGCUUUUCCCUGUUUUUUCGGAAGGAAAAGGGGGCAUGCACCCCAACGCUCCCCAUGGGUCCGGCCCUGGCAAGGCUAGCUAGCUCGACGCGAUCCGGCAGGGCUAGCUCUCUGCAGUACUCCCAGGACUGGCGUCGACCACCGGCGCCGCCGCUAGACCCGCCACGCCAGAGCGCCUAGCUAGAUACCGUACCUGGAGCUAGCAUCAGCUACAGUUUCAGCUGGUCGUCGCAGCUUUUUAGCCUUGCCUAUGCUGCUGGUGGUUCCUUUGUCUUCACUCCAAAAAUAUCUACAAUGUAUACGGUACCAAAACCUAACAUGCUUGAAGAUGUAGAAGAUCCUCGCUAUCCAUCCACCUUCGCAGCUUCUUUUGCCUCACAAUUACCUCUGUCACAAGUCCUAUCAAACACCGUGCCCGAUUCUGGUGAAGCUGACAGCACUGGGGACACUUCGCCUCAAUUGAAGCUGUUAUUCAACCCUUAGACACAACCACUUGCCUCCUAAUUACCUGCUAUGAAAGAAAUUACAUAUUGUGAGCUACUAGCAAAGGAACAACUUCAACACUGCAUCAAAUGGCUCGACCAAAGUUAUCAGUGGAGCAAUAUUCACCUGGUUUCCCCAAAACAAAACAGCACAUCCCAAAGAAUGGUGAACUCCAGUUGAAAAGACAUGCGAUUCUGAAAUAACCAUGGUCAUUUCAGACAUCUUGCGGGAGAAUUAAAAGGGGCAAGAACAUUCAGUGAUUUAGAUACAUUUUACCAUCAGGAGCAUUCACUGCAUUGCACAGUAUGUUACUGAAUAGUUGGAGAGAAACUGGACUCUGUGUAACUAUACUAGACAUGACAAGUACAGAAGUACUAGCUAGUAAUGGACAAGGAAUUUUACUCACGUGAGCAGUUCAAAAC